AUCAGCCUAGUUACUAGGCAGUGUAGUUAGCUGAUUGCCAAAAGUACCAAUCACUAGCCACACAGCCAGGUAAAAAGGCUUGG
rnacentral:pre_miRNA from 1 species